AUGGAACUCUAGACCUAUAUGAUCCAAUUGCUAGCCACUGCUUUUUCUGUGUUCAACAGUUGGGAUCCAGAAGAAGACAGAAAGAUAAGAGGGGGAAAACACACAUAAAGACAGACCAAAAUUAUGGCUCUCACAAUUGGCAAUGUUUUAAACACACACAGGUUAUCUGGGAAAACCCAUGCCAAUUGAAGCCUGUGACAAAACUGGAUACUGGGCACAUGACUGUACCAAGCCACUGCCCAGAUGCUGUGCAUGUCAGGUGGCCCUGAAUUAUGGCACUGGAGGAUUGGCUGUCUCUGCUCCCAGAGAGGCAAAACCUUCAUCUCCUCCUCUGAUGAAGAGAACUAAAGGGACCAAGUGUAGCCUACAGUACCUCUAUCCAUGGCCAUCUCCAUCUCCUGUGAAAAACCCUAGGAGAUCAUGGAUGUUAUGGGCUGAAUACAACAGGCUGCAUAUGGGAACACAGCAUUGCCAGCUCCUGAGCCGGGAGAUCUCCUAGUGUUCACCCUGGAGACAAAGUGGUCAUUAAAAGUUGAAAAGAUAAAAGUGGCAGAGAUAACUGGAUUCACUUUUCUACGUGGUGCACAGCCAGCCAGCCCCACUUGAACCAUUUGAAGAAAAGAGACCAUAGAAGAGAGCUAUUCCUGUGAACCUCUGGAAGGCCUGAGUCUCUUCUUCAAAAAGAAAGGCCCCAGUUUUGCUCUGGGUACAGUUUGAAGGCUGUGGCUCUUGGCCCCUUGAUAAUUUAUCUAACAUCCUUCUUCGUCAUAGUUUCUCCUCCAUAAGAAGUGUGGGAAUCCAAUCUGUUCCUUCUCUUAUUUGGGCUCUCCAUCUGCAGCCUAAUGGCAAACUAAUUCUCCCGAUAAAUUCAAAAAGCUUUGUCCCUUCAAAUGGGCAGCUUGACAGUCCUUCACACAGAGAUGCUAACUAAUUUUUUUAGUCUUCUGACUGGCUUUUGUUCCUUCAACACCGUUGGUGAGCCACAACACCCUAAGGAAGCUGAAGAGAACAUAAUCCCCAGUAAGUCAGGUUUACAGUCCCUUUCACCAAAAGUGGCUGUAUGAAGAUGGAGACUUGUACUCCCUGAGCAUCCCACAUAAAAUUAUGGGAAUUCACGUCUUCAGGAGAAAAGGAGGCAGGAGAUCAGGGCAUGGCAAAAUGGUGAGGGAGGCUGUAUGCAGUUUGCAGAGUAUAUCUCUUUUCUUACCUUUGGUUGACCCAAACUCACCUGGCAGAGCAUAUUUCUUUUCCUACGUUUAACAAGUGUAAAACUUUGCUACCUUUUGUAUCUGUCUUGUCCAAUUCUUUGUUCAGGCUAACAAGUAGCUAAAAUCUCCAGAACAAGUUUCUAGCACACCAGAAUCCUGUUAACAUUUUUGGCAAGCACUGCAGAAACCUGGUAACAGUAUCAACUCUCCCAAGGAAUGUAAACAUUCUGUAAUGCAAACAUGUACUGAUGAAAAAUAAAAACUGAAAAAAAUUUUAAUGGGCAGAAAAGAGACAAGAAAAUUGGGAUUUGAAAAUUGUGAUCUUUAAGAAAAAUUUUGGCUUCAGGACACAAAAGUUAUUAUUUUUUUUUUCUCUUCUAGGAAACUCACUAAAAAAAAAAUUCCUAAAGGUCUUAAAAACACAGUAAGACUAUAAACUGGGCUCUGGACUUGUCAUUUUUACCUGUAAAUUGUGCUUUUGCCAUCCUCAAGAAAACAGCGAUAUCAGUCGGCAGCCAUAUUUCAACAUCAAACACAUAUAAGUGACUUGUAUUCUGACAUAGCUUUCCAGGCAGAACAUCUGACAGACCGUAGGUAUGCACACCCAUGUUCUCUUGAACUCUGCAGUAGAAAGCCUGAACCCUAAUUGUCUGUUGUAAACUUCCCAGAGCUACCUGUAGUAGGUGGCUCUACUGGACAGCAAGCCAAUUCCUGUACUCUGCUGACUCAUGUAAAACCCCGAGAAAUCACAAGGCAGCCCCACUAUGAGGAUCCCUCCCAACCACCAAGAGUUUUCUUUCUUCUGUAUUUUCAGUAAACACUCCUUUUAACUGCUUUUUUUGAUUGGAUUUCAUUUUCAACUACUACCAUUCACCCUAGAUAAUAAUUCUUGAAUAUGAACUUUUGUUCUUUUGAUUGGAAUCUAGUUGUAGAUAGUGGUAAGUUCAGGUGAUUUUGUUUUUCUUUUUAAAGUCCAGGUGAUUUAUAAAGUUACAACCCAAAUAGUCCUUUGCAUUUAGAACCACAAUUUUUCUGUCAUAGUUGCUCAAAUAACUUUAAGCUUGCUUUUGUUUGUUUUUAAUAAAAUUGUUACUUCAAGUUUCAUUAUUUAACCUUUUCCCCCCUACAUCCGUUAUAAACUGAAUAAGCUUUCUGUAUCUUUCUUUUUUUUUUUAAACAAAUUUUGAGGCUAAAACGCAUCAAGAAUUUAAUACCAGCCAGGUGUGGUGAUGCACUCCUAUAAUCCCAACACUCGGGAGGCCGAGGCAGGAGGAUCAUUGUGAAUUCAAGACCAGCCUGAGCUACCAAGUGAGUUUAAGGCCACCCUAAGCUGCAUAGCAAGAUCGUGUCUCCAAACAAAACAAAGCGAAACAAGAAUUUAACUAUCUGGAUAAAAUAAGAGUGAUAGCUUUUUAAAAUGUAUAAAUGUUGUCAAAAGACCAAUCCUUCAUUGAAUCUGCCAAAGUAGGCAUAUAUUCUGUGUGUAAUAGAAUAUAUGAGCUUUAAUUUUUUAUACUAAAGUGGGCACAA
rnacentral:lncRNA from 1 species